AGCCGCGGUAAUACGUAGGGGGCAAGCGUUGUCCGGAAUUAUUGGGCGUAAAGCGCGCGCAGGCGGUCUUUUAAGUUCGGUGUUUAAACCCAGGGCUCAACCUUGGGUCGCACUGGAAACUGGGAGACUGGAGUGUAGGAGAGGAAAGUGGAAUUCCACGUGUAGCGGUGAAAUGCGUAGAGAUGUGGAGGAACACCAGUGGCGAAGGCGACUUUCUGGCCUAUAACUGACGCUGAGGCGCGAAAGCGUGGGGAGCAAACAGGAUUAGAUACCCUGGUAGUCCACGCCGUAAACGAUGCAUGCUAGGUGUUAGGGGUUUCGAUACCCUUGGUGCCGAAGUAAACACAUUAAGCAUGCCGCCUGGGGAGUACGCUCGCAAGAGUGAAACUCAAAGGAAUUNGCCCUCCUUCGGGACAUCCAAGACAGGUGGUGCAUGGUUGUCGUCAGCUCGUGUCGUGAGAUGUUGGGUUAAGUCCCGCAACGAGCGCAACCCUUGAUCUUAGUUGCCAGCAUUGAGUUGGGCACUCUAGGAUGACUGCCGGUGACAAACCGGAGGAAGGUGGGGAUGACGUCAAAUCAUCAUGCCCCUUAUGACCUGGGCUACACACGUACUACAAUGGCCGGUACAACGGGC
rnacentral:rRNA from 1 species